rnacentral:rRNA from 1 species
GACGAACGCUGGCGGCGUGCUUAACACAUGCAAGUCGAACGGAAAGGCCCUGCUUGCAGGGUACUCGAGUGGCGAACGGGUGAGUAACACGUGGGUGAUCUGCCCUGCACUUCGGGAUAGCCCGGGAAACUGGGUCUAAUACCGGAUAGGAGCCAUUUUUAGUGUGAUGGUUGGAAAGGUUUUUCGGUGUAGGAUGAGCUCGCGGCCUAUCAGCUUGUUGGUGGGGUAAUGGCCUACCAAGGCGGCGACGGGUAGCCGGCCUGAGAGGGUGGACGGCCACAUUGGGACUGAGAUACGGCCCAGACUCCUACGGGAGGCAGCAGUGGGGAAUAUUGCACAAUGGGCGCAAGCCUGAUGCAGCGACGCCGCGUGGGGGAUGACGGCCUUCGGGUUGUAAACUCCUUUCGCUAGGGACGAAGCUUUUUGUGACGGUACCUAGAUAAGAAGCACCGGCUAACUACGUG